UGCCUCUUUUUAUCUGCCAUUUCAAACUCUUUUCUCUUCCGCUCUUCUUCUUUCUUUUUCCUUUCCAUCUCCUGCUUCCAUGCAAUUUCAGCUUCCUUUUUCUUUCGCUCUUCUUCUUUCUUUUUCCUCUCAAUCUCUUGCUUUCUCAGGUUUUCUUGUUCCAGCCUUGCCCGCUCAACCUUCAUAGCUUCUUUCUUCAUCUUGCGUUCAUUUUCUUUCUGUUCAGCAAUCCUUCUUGAAGCCUCAGCUGCUUCUAGGGCCUUUACUUUGACAUCCCUCUUGCCUAGAGGAAACAUAGAUAGGGUAAGUUCAGACAAAUAAGUAAUUCGAAAUAUCAAAUGCUUUCUACUAGACUAAGAGAUCUAUUACCUGUAAUGAUUGCUGCAGCUGCUUUUUGCUGCUGCACAAGUGGAACGAACGAAGUGAUGUUUGAGACAAUGUUGUUGUGCCUAGGUUGUUUAUCUGGUAAUCGCGGCCCUACAGAUGUCAAAGUCGAGUUGCAAGACAACUUAGUCUUACUGAACCUGCUACUAGGCGGUCUAACAUUUCUUCCAGCGCCUGCUCCACCUUGAUUCUCUUUACCUUUACUCGUGAAUCUUCGGCUACCACCCAUCUUCCUUUCUGGUUUACUUUUGACACUGUUGUUGCACGUAGCAGAAAAGCUAAAUGCGGUAUUGACAGAAUCUAGGCUCUGUCUAUCAACAGGGAUCUUAGCGUUAGAGUCAGAUGGAAGAAAUUUCAUAGUUUCUUCAUCAACAUCAGCAAAAGGCUUCUUUUCAGCAGAGGCAUUCCCACUUUUGGAAUCAUCAGAUACUUGACUGACAGCUUCUAAUAUCUCAUCUUCUUUCUCAUUCUCUUCAGCUAUGCAAGGAAGGUCUGGAAUUGAACUUCCUCGCUUCUCUGACCUCAUAGGCUUUGGAGUGUUGGCGCAUAGGUUUUCAGGCUCCUCAUCCACGUUCUCAUUCUCUUCGCUAAUGCAAGGUAGGUCUGGUGUCUGAAUGCCCUGCUUCUCUGAACUGGAAGACUUUUGCAAACUUCUAUACCACAGCUUCCCAUUUGGAGACGUAAGAAGGUUCCUAGCAUCGGCAGAUGAGCCAGCACCAGAAAAGGGCAGACAGCUAGUGUACAAAUUUCCUGUAUAGUCAUUGUUAACCCCCAAGUUAUCAAAGACAGAGCUACCCUCCAAAUUCUGACUGAAAAACAUGCCAUCAAGGAGUUCAGUUGAAACGGACUGAUCCAAAUCCAGUUUCUCAUUGAACUUGAAUAUUUUAGCUGGAUCUAACGAGGGAGUGAUCCUGCAAGCAGACUUGCGAAUCUGCUCUAUGAUGGUUGCACUUUCUGCUGUAGUUCCUGGAAAUUCGAAGCUGUCAUGUUUUAUCUUGUUUUUGGAACCGCUUUGACUUUCAUCAUCCGUUUGGACUAUAAAGCCCUCCAAAACAGGGGGGCUUCCAUCGUCUGCGCCUGUCAAACCCAAGGGUGACAAACAAGGAGAACAAUCUGAACUACGUACAACGCCACUAGCAAAUGGUUGAUCAUGACAUUAACAUUCUGAAAUAGGGUUUUAUAUGAAUUCGAAAAACCUAAUUGUUCAAUAUAUAAACUCACUGAACCAAAGGGCCACAAGUUGUUAUAAAAAUCAAAUGAAAUUCAAGCGUUACAUCCAUUCACUAAUCCUUACAAAAGCAAAUAUGACCAUUUGCUACAAUAGGUUAAGCACAAAGAGAGUGUAUUCACAGACUUUGAAGCUGAAGCUACUAAGGAACUUGAAACACAAUUUUACUGUCUCCAUUCACUAAUCCUAACAAAAGCAAAUACGAUCAUUUGCUACAAUAGGUUAAGCACAAAGAGAGUGUAUUCACAGACUUUGAAGCUGAAGCUACUAAGGAACUUGAAACACAGUUUUACUGUCUCCAUUCACUAAUCCUAACAAAAGCAAAUACGAUCAUUUGCUACAAUAGGUUAAGCACAAAGAGAGUGUAUUCACAGACUUUGAAGCUGAAGCUACUAAGGAACUUGAAACACAGUUUUACUGUCUCCGAGAAUCUGAGUUUGGCUCCUCGUAGUUUAUGCUACUGGCUUCGGAACUUUCGCGGCAAAAGAACUGCAAAUAUCGAAAAGAAACUAUGGGUAAAACUAUGAGAGUUGUCUUUAUAUGUUGACGUGUAGUCGAGAGAUUUUACCUUUGGUUAUACUGCGGAAGCGUUUUGCAGGGAAAGCAACAUCGGGAUCACGAUUUUCUUGGGAAAUGACGCUGAGAAGUACAUUGCUCUUGCUGUAUAAACAAAGACGCUUUAGUAGCUAAUGAGAGCUGAACAUAUUAAAGAAUGAUAGAAGCAACUAAGAAACAAAACCUGGCCCAAGAAGGAACGAAUUUGUGGUUUGACAUGUCGUCAUCGUCGUCUUCCUCUUCAUCUUCGUCGUCUGAGCAUUUGUAUGGAGAGAUGUCGUAGGACUCUUCAGACAUUUUCCCUAUGUUGCUUAUCACCUAUAAGCACAAGUAUUGUUAUGUAUCUGAGAUUGGUCUCAUCUCUAAAGAACUCCAAGUCUCUAUAGGAUGAGAAAGAAACUCGUACCUUGAGAUCAUCCUCUCUCGAGGAUCUUGAUGCAUUGGUAUCAUCGCUGGAAUUACUCUUUGAUCUUACUUCACGGAUCCUAGCAUUACCUUGUCCUUCUUUAAGUUCCUUCAAUGCUUUUAUCUUCGCAUCCUGAAAAUGUCACUUCCUUUUAUUCAGCAAAACUCCUGCAUCACAUUAGUCAAACAAAGAUCAAAACAAGAAGAGGGUUCUUAGUCUUACCAUAGCCUUUCUUUUCAGUUCUUUUUCAGCUUGUAGUUUCUCAUCAGCCUCUUUUUGUUGUCUCUGCAUUUCUGCAACUCGCUGUCUUUUAGCUUCCUUCAGCUUCUUGUCUUCUUCCCUCUGCCUCUUUUUAUCUGCCAUUUCAAACUCUUUUCUCUUCCGCUCUUCUUCUUUCUUUUUCUUUUCCAUCUCCUGCUUCCAUGCAAUUUCAGCUUCCUUUUUCUUUCGCUCUUCUUCUUUCUUUUUCCUCUCAAUCUCUUGCUUUCUCAGGUUUUCUUGUUCCAGCCUUGCCCGCUCAACCUUCAUAGCUUCUUUCUUCAUCUUGCGUUCAUUUUCUUUCUGUUCAGCAAUCCUUCUUGAAGCCUCAGCUGCUUCUAGGGCCUUUACUUUGACAUCCCUCUUGCC
rnacentral:lncRNA from 1 species